UACUAAUAAAAAAGACCCGACCCUCUUUUGCUUCUUACAAAACUCGAUAGAAUAGGGUUUCCUAUUCCAUUUCUCUUUCGUCGUAUCUUCCAAAACCUGAGACAUUUUGUCCUUGCCAGUGUUUAACAUUUUCUUUAUCUUGAAAUUACUUUGGGUAAUCAAUUCUCUACCUUGGAUCAUCUGUAUAUCAACUCAAAUCAGCUAGAUUAGCUUUCAAACUGUGCUCUCCGAUAUUGGGAAUUUUAGAUGUUUUUGGUGCUUCAUUGAGGGUUUGAGACCCCAGAGAGUAAAUACACAUCUAACUAUGGCCGGUAGGGAGAUGACAAGAUGAUCAGAACCGCAAGUAGUUGGAUUGUAUUUUCUUCCUCAGGUGUAUCACUUGCAGAACUUGAAAAAACCCUCCCCUACACUGCGAGUCCUUUUUUCUGGUUAUAUUAGAAUAGGCUAGAUAGUUAUGUACAGUUUUUGAAGCAACUUUGUUCUGUAAAUAAUUGUAUGUGGACAAGUUUAGCUUUAUCCUUUUCACCCCUUUGUUGGUGUUACUCUUAUGUACAGACAUUAUAUUUUAUUAUUGUUUAGGAUCUUCUUACCCGUGA